AUUAAGGAUCUAAAUGCCCUGAUGACACCAGAUCCUGUUUGAUCUUGAAAAUUAAGCAAGGUGAGUUCUGAGUAGUAUUUGAAUGGGAUACAACCAAUGAAUAUCAGGUGUUAUAAUC
rnacentral:rRNA from 11 species